AGUGAAUUAAAAACAGUACACCAC
rnacentral:snRNA from 1 species